UGGGGAAUAUUGCACAAUGGGCGCAAGCCUGAUGCAGCAACGCCGCGUGAGGGAUGACGGCCUUCGGGUUGUAAACCUCUUUUAGCAGGGAAGAAGCGAAAGUGACGGUACCUGCAGAAAAAGCGCCGGCUAACUACGUGCCAGCAGCCGCGGUAAUACGUAGGGCGCAAGCGUUAUCCGGAAUUAUUGGGCGUAAAGAGCUCGUAGGCGGUUUGUCGCGUCUGCUGUGAAAUCCCGAGGCUCAACCUCGGGUCUGCAGUGGGUACGGGCAGACUAGAGUGCGGUAGGGGAGAUUGGAAUUCCUGGUGUAGCGGUGGAAUGCGCAGAUAUCAGGAGGAACACCGAUGGCGAAGGCAGAUCUCUGGGCCGUAACUGACGCUGAGGAGCGAAAGGGUGGGGAGCAAACAGGCUUAGAUACCCUGGUAGUCCACCCCGUAAACGUUGGGAACUAGUUGUGGGGUCCAUUCCACGGAUUCCGUGACGCAGCUAACGCAUUAAGUUCCCCGCCUGGGGAGUACGGCCGCAAGGCUA
rnacentral:rRNA from 1 species